AGGAGCCCCGGGCGGGAGAAAGGGAGGAGCCCGGAGGAGCUCUGGCCCUUUGCAACGCUUGGGCCUGGGGUCUUGGCCAAUACGUGGGCUUACAUCGCGGCCUGCUGGUGCCUUCGUGGCCUUCUCCCCGCUUCGAGGAUCCCGAAGUGCCCGUUGGCCAGGACUUUAGGAAGACCUACUUUACAGAAUCCUUGUUUUCUCAUGAAACCUGAGUGCAAGAGUGAAAGCAUUCCUUGACUGACGCAUCCUGACAUGUCAUUCGUUGUGUCGUUUUAUUUGAUCCAUUCAUCCGUUCUUUAAUGAAACAUGGGAGUCCGUGCUCCCGGCGCCGAGCUGAACAACGCUUUGCCGCCCCAUUCUUGUGCCCUCUUUGAGAAAGGGCCUCACGGUGACCAAAUUGCCUCUGGACUGCUUCCUGACCAUGGGGGGAGAAUGGCUACUGCCCGGAGUCCUUGCAAUCCACAGAGCACCGUUGACUUGGGAGCCCAGUACAUCACCCGCACUCCCCAUUAUGCUAAAAAACACCAAAGUUUUUAUGAUGAACUGUUAGCUCACGGCAUUUUGAAACCUCUGACCUCUCUAAUUGAAGGGAUGGUAAUGAAAGAAGGAGACUGUAACUUUGUGGCACCUCAAGGACUUUCUUCAAUCGUUAAGCAUUACCUGGAAGAAUCAGGUGCCGAGGUCUCCUUCCGACACCGUGUGACCCGGAUCAACCUGAGAAAUGACAAGUGGGAAGUGUCCAAGGAAACAGGUUCCCCCGAGCGGUUUGACAUCGUUGUCCUCACGAUGCCGGUUCCGCAGAUUCUGCAGCUCCGAGGUGACAUCGCAAACCUUUGGGGUCAGUAUUCUAGAACAGUGAAGAUAAAAAGUUCAGGAGAAGACACGGGGAACUCCUUAGUGAUUUAUCCCAUUGAAAAUACAGAUGGCGUUGGGGAGAUUGUGGCCUUGGGAAGCAGCGAGUCCAGGGGAGAGGCUGCCGCUGCGCCCUGGGCUUCUCCAGGCGGUGCUGCGACCCAGGGGACGUUAUCGGACCGGCUGCCGAUGGUGGGGACCCACACAGCAGAGGCGUCCAGGGUAACGCACCCUCAGGGUUACCGUCAUUCUCAAACCACCGCCAAAUGGGAUCAUUCUGGGGAUGCCUGGGUCAUCGGAGCGGAAGGUUCAUUCUGCUUUCUAUAUCGUCCAACACAGGCAGCAUACCAUCUUUCAAACUUUUAUUAAAAGAAACAAAAAAGAAAACUCUGUCUUCUAUAUAAGAGCAUUCUUCGCGACACCGUCUUUCCCACCUCAGUCGUGAAAGACUGGAAGUCACCAUUCCAUCUCAGUGCACUUACGGAGUCUCCUAGAGCGGGCUAUACGUGACUCAGGCGCCCGGGCUGUUGGUUAUUUCGGAAUCAGGCAAUGCCGAACAUCCUCCUCUUCUCAGACUUGUCAUCUCUGGGCUGUGCUUGACAUUUUAAAUUGAAGUCACGUUUGGAUUGUCCGAAUGCAGAGGUACCCUGGAGAUGGUUCUGGAAAGUCAGAACCUUUAGUGGGAUAGCCCAAUAGCCCCAGGUACACACCUACUUCUCUAACCAUGGCCUGAACAAUUUGUGACUCUUCUCAAACUAUUUUCCACUGUCAAAGGAAAAAGAUUUGCUGUCCUUGCAGAUAUUCAGAAGAAUGAGCUGCGUUCCCUAAGAAAAGCAAUUCCAGAAGGGAACUCCUCACCAUGUUUAGAAUAACGGUAACAGCUCUGGUAUAACAGCAUCACUUGUGAAACAGCACAACUGUCUGGAUGUCUUAGUUCUUACGUAUUUGUUGAAAAAAUGUAAUAGUUUACAGUGACAUGUGCGAUAGUGAGGUAGUGGAUGCUUUGUUUUAGAAAUUUUCACCACUCUGACCCCGAAUACAAUUGCCGUUAAUAGCUUAUGACAUGCAUGUCUUUGACUUUUGGAGAAAUAGGUGAUCUUGUAAGUUUCCAGGAGCCAUGAUAGCAUAACCAGCAUAGUUAUUCCCCAGGCAUUUUUGAAAACGACAUCUUUCAGUGGGAAGGGCAUGUUAAUAAAGUAAGACUUCCCAAAAUGGGAAAAACUAUUAUAUUUGAAAAGCAGAUGAUUACUUGAAAUAUUUCUUAUCACAAUA